UAACUGGCAGCUGAUGCUUUCUGAAUAUAUAUUGGCUAUGGUCUCCGUUCCUCGACACACAACGCUACAGAAGCGAAGCAGCAGCCAGAAGUCAAUUCGCAGCAGUAAUCAUGUUCGCAAGCAAAACUAUUGUCCUCGUUGUUGCCAUGCUGACCCUAGUAUACGUAGCCGCUGCUUAUCCCAGUUUCGGAUAAGGGUCAUACGGCCAUGUAUACGGACACGGCCACCAUUCAUCUUACGGACACGGACACGGUUCUUAUGGAUACGGACAUUCUGGAUAUGGGCCAUUCUACAACCAGUACUCAUCCUACCACCAGGGACACUAUCAUGGAUAGACUGAAUCGAUCUCCUGAACCACAUUUCCACCUGUUCUCUUAUUAUUUUGUUUGAUAAAUAAAGAUAAUGAUGAUAAGAAAUGUUGAAGUCACAUAUUUUGUUUUUAGCAAGCUUUCGUUUGAUUAAUUCAAGGAUCCAGAAAUACUAUGAU